UGGCGGCGUGCCUAACACAUGCAAGUCGAACGAGAAAGUGGAGCAAUCCAUGAGUACAGUGGCGACCGGGUGAGUAACACGUGACUACCUACCCUCGAGUGGGGAAUAACUCCGGGAAACCGGAGCUAAUACCGCAUAACAUCGCAAGAUCAAAGCAGCAAUGCGCUUGAGGAGGGGGUCGCGGCUGAUUAGCUAGUUGGCGGGGUAACGGCCCACCAAGGCGAAGAUCGGUAUCCGGCCUGAGAGGGCGCACGGACACACUGGAACUGAAACACGGUCCAGACUCCUACGGGAGGCAGCAGUGGGGAAUUUUGCGCAAUGGGGGAAACCCUGACGCAGCAACGCCGCGUGGAGGAUGAAGCCCUUUGGGGCGUAAACUCCUUUCGACCCGGACGAUUAUGACGGUACGGGUGGAAGAAGCACCGGCUAACUCUGUGCCAGCAGCCGCGGUAAUACAGAGGGUGCAAGCGUUGUUCGGAAUUAUUGGGCGUAAAGGGCGCGUAUGCGGUGCGGUAAGUCACCUGUGAAAUCUC
rnacentral:rRNA from 1 species